rnacentral:rRNA from 1 species
UACAGAGACCUCAAGCGUUAUCCGGAAUCAUUGGGCGUAAAGCGUACCGAUAGGUGGUUAUGAAAGUCAGAAGUGAAAUCUCAAGGCUCAACUUUGAGACUGUCUUUUGAAACUUCAUGACUAGAGGGGCAAAGAGGAAGCUAGAACGAACGGUGUAGUAGUGAAAUGCGUUGAUAUCGUUCGGAAUACCAAUAGCGAAGGCAGGCUUCUGGGUGCCACCUGACACUGCUAGGACGAAAGCGUGGGGAGCGAAUGGG